UACGUAGGGGCCUAGCGUUGUCCGGAUUUAUUGGGCGUAAAGAGCUCGUAGGCGGUUCGGUAAGUCAGGUGUGAAAUCUCCACGCUCAACGUGGAGGCGCCACCUGAAACUGCCGUGACUAGAGUCCGGUAGGGGAGUGUGGAAUUCCCGGUGUAGCGGUGGAAUGCGUAGAGAUCGGGAAGAACACCAGUGGCGAAGGCGGUCUGCUGGGCCGUUGCUGACGCUGAGGCGCGACAGCGUGGGGAGCAAACAGG
rnacentral:rRNA from 1 species